rnacentral:rRNA from 1 species
UACGGAGGGGGCUAGCGUUGUUCGGAAUUACUGGGCGUAAAGCGCACGUAGGUGGCUUUGUAAGUUAGAGGUGAAAGCCCGGGGCUCAACUCCGGAAUUGCCUUUAAGACUGCAUCGCUAGAACGUCGGAGAGGUAAGUGGAAUUCCGAGUGUAGAGGUGAAAUUCGUAGAUAUUCGGAAGAACACCAGUGGCGAAGGCGACUUACUGGACGAUUGUUGACGCUGAGGUGCGAAAGCGUGGGGAGCAAACAGG